UACGAAGGGGGCAAGCGUUGUUCGGAAUUACUGGGCGUAAAGGGCGCGUAGGCGGUCGAUCAAGUCGAGUGUGAAAGCCCCCGGCUCAACUGGGGAGGGUCAUUCGAUACUGAUCGACUCGAAGGCAGGAGAGGGUAGUGGAAUUCCCGGUGUAGUGGUGAAAUGCGUAGAUAUCGGGAGGAACACCAGUGGCGAAGGCGACUACCUGGCCUGUUCUUGACGCUGAGGCGCGAAAGCUAGGGGAGCAAACGGG
rnacentral:rRNA from 1 species